UCUUUGUUGCAUUGAUUCAUAUCGAGAUUGUGUAAUUGCUAAUAUAGCUUUUCCCAACAACAAUUUAAGCAUAAUAGCCAUGAAAAAUAGAAAGGCAAUUCCUGAUUUACCUCUUACAACUGAAAGUAGUAAUGUCUCCCAAGAAGCUUCUUUUCCUGCAUUAUAAGUAUUGGCUUCUUUAUUCGGAAGAUAAUAGACAUAAUUAUCCUUAGUAGGAAAAAUAGUGCCGAUAGAUUUAGCAAUUUCUUGUUUCAUUGAAUGGGUUGAACGAAACAUGCUCCAAGUUUGCAUGGAAGUUCGAAUAAAAACGCAAACUAAUGGUAAAACUGGAAGACCCAUUCUUCUAGCCACCUGUUGAGAACACCCCGUCACCGUCUUUACCAAUGUUAGUGUUAUUGUCAAAAAUGAUAAUUAGUGUAUUAUAACUUACCUGGGUUAGUUGAGCACCCGAAGCAACAUAAUCAUGACACAGAACAUCAGUAAAACGCGAAUAUAUCGAAGGUUUUAUAUAAUUGAACUUUAUUAUAAACGCAUGCUUGAGCCAAUCGACGAACAGUUCAGAACCUAUAACCCAAAAAAAUGGUGCCAACAAGGUCUUAAGCCUUUUAAAAGUUAAGAGGGGUUGAUCUAACGAAGAAGUCGUGUACAGUUCUGCAAGAUUUCUCAAAAAUAUUAUGAUAACCAUAAUGGUAAUCUGAAAACGUUCGACUACGUCUAAAAUUAAAGUUAGAUGAUUUAAGCUAAUUACAAAAUUACUUACCAGAGCAAGUAAGUUGAAAGAGGUUUUCUUUUUCAAAUUUUUUGAAAACUGCCCCUUUAAUUUCAACUAACUGAUUUGACAUUAAAAGUGCAAGGACAGCAUUUGAAUAUGAAUUCACUGUAACAUUUAGGGUGAUGAUUUGAUACAGAAGAACCAAUGUAUGUAAAACCAUGUACGCUAGAGAAAUUGCAAAAUAAUAGAAAAAUGUCAUCCAGCCAGCUGGAUUCCAAAAAUUGAAAGAAAGAAUAUGAUUAGAGAACAAACAGUCAAGAACAUCCUGACCCAAAGCGCAACACAAUCUGUCCGCAAUUUCUAAGACAUUAUACAAAACAUAAAAUCGUAUACUAGCCUGAGCACGUAUAAUAUGGUAAAGCCGACUAACGUCAAUUUUUCGAAUGAGAAUACUAGUAGAGAAUAUUAAAAGAAGUUUUAAGAGAUCAAUUUUUCGGCUCCUAGGUAAUGAUCGGUUUGGUGAGCUAUUACGAUGGAAAAAAGUUGAAAAUAAACCCUGAAAAAUGCAACGGCUUAGGGUAAAAAAAGAUAUUAAGACCCGAAUGGGAAAUAAUGUAAAAAUAUAAAGGAAGCUGUCGACACUAACAAACCAUCCAAAUAAAAAUGUCUUUUCAAUUGCAUAUGGUGUAGCCAGAAAGUUUUCAACAUGCUUUUCUUUAAUAGGAUUUGCGGGCACAGUAUCAUUAGCCAAAAGCUCAAAGC